rnacentral:rRNA from 1 species
UGGGGAAUCUUCCGCAAUGGGCGAAAGCCUGACGGAGCAACGCCGCGUGAGUGAAGACGGCCUUCGGGUUGUAAAGCUCUGUUAUAUGGGACGAACGGGCGUAUGGUCAAUACCCAUACGCCGUGACGGUACCGUAAGAGAAAGCCACGGCUAACUACGUGCCAGCAGCCGCGGUAAUACGUAGGUGGCAAGCGUUGUCCGGAAUCAUUGGGCGUAAAGGGCGCGCAGGCGGUUCGGUAAGUCGGUCUUAAAAGUGCGGGGCUUAACCCCGUGAUGGGAUUGAAACUGCCGGACUGGAGUGUCGGAGAGGAAAGCAGAAUUCCUAGUGUAGCGGUGAAAUGCGUAGAUAUUAGGAGGAAUACCAGUGGCGAAAGCGGCUUUCUGGACGACAACUGACGCUGAGGCGCGAAAGCCAGGGGAGCAAACGGGAUUAGAUACCCCGGUAGUCCUGGCCGUAAACGAUGGAUACUAGGUGUAGGAGGUAUCGACCCCUUCUGUGCCGGAGUUAACGCAAUAAGUA